rnacentral:misc_RNA from 1 species
AACGCACAUUGCGCCCCGUGGUAUUCCGCGGGGCAUGCCUGUUCGAGCGUCAUUACACCACUCAAGCCUCGCUUGGUAUUGGGCGACGCGGUCUACCCGCGCGCCUCAAAUCUUCCGGCUGGUUCGAAUCGUCCCUCAGCGUUGUGGAAACUAUUCGCUAAAGGUGCGCGUUUCGGUCACGCCGUUAAACAAACCAAUUUCAUUAAAGGUUGACCUCGGAUCAGGUAGGGAUACCCGCUGAACUUAA